rnacentral:rRNA from 1 species
CAGCCGCCGCGGUAAUACGUAGGGUGCGAGCGUUAAUCGGAAUUACUGGGCGUAAAGCGUGCGCAGGCGGUUCGUUAAGACAGAUGUGAAAUCCCCGGGCUUAACCUGGGAACUGCAUUUGUGACUGGCGAGCUAGAGUAUGGCAGAGGGGGGUAGAAUUCCACGUGUAGCAGUGAAAUGCGUAGAGAUGUGGAGGAAUACCAAUGGCGAAGGCAGCCCCCUGGGCCAAUACUGACGCUCAUGCACGAAAGCGUGGGGAGCAAACAGGAUUAGAUACCCCAGUAGUCCCUGUCUCUUAUAC